rnacentral:lncRNA from 1 species
CGCUGGUCACCGUACUUUCUGGAGUCGUGGUGUCAUUGAUGAGAUGCUUCAGGGUUUCAUUCUCAGAUAUACAGAAGUCCAAAUCAUUGAAUCUCAGGAGGAAAGUAUUCCAGUCCUCUGUCAUCUCUGGUGACUUGAUCUCCUUGAUUUUAAAGAAAUAACCCAGUGUCAGAAAAGCUAUGGCCAUAGCGCUUACGCUGAUCAUAAAGACCACGAGUGGAGGUCGGCUGCUGAUGUAAACCUUCAGGUUCUCCAACAGGUUUAUGUUGACCAUUAUUCUGAUUGUUCACCGGCGCCCGGAGGGGGAAGAUGCCGCCGGGCCGGGCGGGUGGAGGCCCGGAGGCGGCGGCGGGGCUCAGGGGCGGCGGGCCGGGCUCUGCAGCAUCCUCCUGCCCUGCCCUGCCGGGGGGCUGCGGGGCGGGGAGGACCGCUCCCGUCCGUCGCCGCGGCCCGGACACCCGCCUCCUCCGCCUCCUCCUCCCUCUGCCGCCACCGCUUCCGGGGACGCAGCCGUCACCUCUCACCUCGGGCAGCCCCA